UACGGAGGGGGCUAGCGUUGUUCGGAAUUACUGGGCGUAAAGCGUGCGUAGGCGGUUCGUUAAGUUCGUUGUGAAAGCCCCGGGCUCAACCUGGGAACUGCAAUGGAAACUGGCGGGCUUGAGUGUGGCAGAGGGGGGUGGAAUUCCGCGUGUAGCAGUGAAAUGCGUAGAGAUGCGGAGGAACACCGAUGGCGAAGGCAGCCCCCUGGGCCAACACUGACGCUCAGGCACGAAAGCGUGGGGAGCAAACAGG
rnacentral:rRNA from 1 species